rnacentral:rRNA from 1 species
UACGGGGGGGGCAAGCGUUGUUCGGAAUUACUGGGCGUAAAGGGCUCGUAGGUGGCCAACUAAGUCAGACGUGAAAUCCCUCGGCUUAACCGGGGAACUGCGUCUGAUACUGGAUGGCUUGAGUUCGGGAGAGGGAUGCGGAAUUCCAGGUGUAGCGGUGAAAUGCGUAGAUAUCGGGAGGAACACCGGUGGCGAAGGCGGCGACCUGGGUCGAUACUGACGCUGAGACGCGAAAGCGUGGGGAGCGAACAGG